rnacentral:lncRNA from 1 species
UGCCUUUGGAGUGGAGGAGCGUGGCUCUAGACUGGCAAAGAGGCAGGCUGGAUGAAGUGAUGGUGUCCAGGUAUGGGAAGUGAAUUUGUGACCUGCAGCAGAAGAAUUUGCCCAUUGAUACCAACAGAGAGACAACCACUGCUAACCAUGCUUUCAAAGCACCACAGUUACCAGUGCUUCCAUACAAACUAACGAUGAUAAUGGUGACAGCACUACCCAGCACACGGGAUUCCUG